GACGAACCGUGCGAACGUUAUUCGGAAUCACUGGGCGUAAAGCGCACGUAGGCGGCUUGUUAAGUCAGGGGUGAAAUCCUGGAGCUCAACUCCAGAACUGCCUUUGAUACUGGCGAGCUCGAGUCCGGGAGAGGUGAGUGGAACUGCGAGUGUAGAGGUGAAAUUCGUAGAUAUUCGCAAGAACACCAGUGGCGAAGGCGGCUCACUGGCCCGGUACUGACGCUGAGGUGCGAAAGCGUGGGGAGCAAACAGG
rnacentral:rRNA from 1 species